rnacentral:rRNA from 1 species
UUGAUAGGUCGGGUGUGUAAGCGCAGCGAUGCGUUGAGCUAACCGAUACUAAUGAACCGUGAGGCUUAACCUUACAACGCCGAAGGUGUUU